rnacentral:rRNA from 2 species
UGAGGAAUAUUGGUCAAUGGGCGAGAGCCUGAACCAGCCAAGUAGCGUGCAGGAUGACGGCCCUAUGGGUUGUAAACUGCUUUUAUGUGGGGAUAAAGUGCGUGACGUGUCAUGCAUUGCAGGUACCACAUGAAUAAGGACCGGCUAAUUCCGUGCCAGCAGCCGCGGUAAUACGGAAGGUCCGGGCGUUAUCCGGAGUUAUUGGGUUUAAAGGGAGCGUAGGCUGUCUAUUAAGCGUGUUGUGAAAUUUACCGGCUCAACCGGUGGCUUGCAGCGCGAACUGGUCGACUUGAGUAUGCAGGAAGUAGGCGGAAUUCAUGGUGUAGCGGUGAAAUGCUUAGAUAUCAUGACGAACUCCGAUUGCGCAGGCAGCUUACUGUAGCAUAACUGACGCUGAUGCUCGAAAGUGCGGGUAUCAAACAGG